UAUGUGAUCGUCUCUCGCAUAUCAAUAAGCGGAGGAAAAGAAACUAACAAGGAUUCCCCUAGUAACGGCGAGUGAAGCGGGAAGAGCUCAAAUUUGAAAUCUUAAAGGGUUUCCCCUUACGAAUUGUAGUUUAAAGAAGUGUUUUCUGUUGAGGUUUUGGUAAAAGUUCUUUGGAAUAGGACAUCAUAGAGGGUGAGAAUCCCGUAUUUGACCUUUACUUUCAACUUUGUCGAUACACUUUCAAAGAGUCGGAUUGUUUGGGAAGUGCAGUCCAAAAUGGGUGGUAAAUUUCAUCUAAAGCUAAAUAUUGGCGAGAGACCGAUAGCGAACAAGUACCGUGAGGGAAAGAUGAAAAGAACUUUGAAAAGAGAGUUAAACAGUACGUGAAAUUGUCAAAAGGGAAGCGUUUGACAGCCAGUGUUGCUUUUUCUGAAAAUCAAUUAAAGAACUGUUUAUGCUAAGUUGUUUAGACUUUAUCAGCUAACUGUUUAGUUUUGAGCUUUUCUUUAAUGCACUUUUCAGUUAACAAGUCAACAUCAAUUUCUUUUGCUGUAAAAAAGCUUGAGGAAGGUGGCUUGAGAUUCGUCUUAAGUGUUUAUAGCCUCUUGCCUAUGCAGUUGGAGAGAUUGAGGUCUGCAGCGUAGAUCCUUCGGGGCUAAAUGCAUUUGUGCUAAGUUAUAGCAUUUUAUAGACAACUUGUUGACUAUGAUUUGUCUUGUAGCUUACUCGCUUAUGUUAUUUUACCUACGCUUAGGAUGUUGACACACGCGCGUGCUCG
rnacentral:rRNA from 1 species